ACCAUUUUAUCAACCGAUAAUAAAUUAAUUUUAAUUGAAUUGGCAUAUUUCUGCUCCUCAAAUCCCCUUCUCAAUUUUAAUUGAAUGGGCAUAUUUUAUCGGCCGAUAAUAAAUGAAUUUUAUCAACAGCUAGAGAUUCUUACUGUUGCAACUCAAGAUCCAAAUUUAUGGGGGAACUUUAAGACUGCAAAUCAGGUACUUCUCUACCAUCACCAUCAGAAAAGAAGUUGGAGUUAAUGCAAUUGAGAAGAGAUGCAAUUACUUAGCUUCAGGUUGUCAUUUUGCCUGAUUUUUUUUUCUUCCUUCUCCAUGAUUGAUGUAUAUGAAUUUGAGAAGGGAAAUGUGAGAUUGCUAAAGCCAGUUUUUGCUAGAGAAGGAAGUACAAUGGGUUUACCUCAUCUCUGGAUCAUCAGUUUUUCGCGCGUAACGUGCUUGUGGAAAGGCCUGAACGGAAUAAGGUGAGAUUUGGGUGUUCUCUUCACCACCGUCGUUGAUGUGUUUUAAUGGAUUAAUUCAGAUCGUUAGAUGCAUUUCAGGAGACAUUUUGCUACACGUGCGAGUCACAUGCAGUCGGUCACUGAUGGUGUUAAAUAAAUAUAUAUUAAUUUAAAAAAAAUAUAUUUUGAUAACAGUCAAGACGGUCAACGAUGGUCUGU